CUACCCCUCCCAUCCUGUAAAAACUCUCCUCUCUGUCCUUCUCCAUCCUUCCGGUUCCCCUCCCCCUCUAAGUUUUUAAUUGAUGGGGCAGGUUUGCUCUCCUUCACUCACUACAGUCGGGAUUUGCAGAAAUAUGCAGCCCUAAACCUUCAGGUCAAACUGCCGUCCUUUGAACAAGUAUCAGUUAAAGGCAAUUCUGAAUCAAAUGUAAUCACCAUCACAAUUGUUGUCCCUUCUUAUAACACUUUAUUGUCCAAGCUGUACAUGUCUUCAUCAGUUUGCUUAUUAUAUUUGAAUGACUAAUUCAGUCAAUGGGUUAUUAACACAAUGUGUGGUGCACGUGAGCAGUGUCAUUCUAUGGUUGCUCUGAAGGGAAGGUUACUGUGUAUAAAGUAUGCCCAUCAAACCAUUGGUGAGCCAACAAGAAGGGCAUUGUAUGACAUUGCUGACGUCGUUAUUUGAUGACGUUUUAACCGUGGAAGUUGCUGUGAGCGUAGUUUUUUUGGAUCAAGACAACAAUGUCUUUGUUUACACACUUUCACCCAUAUCUCUUAUUUCUUGUUUAUCCACAAAUACGACAAGAGUUGAAUGCAUUUCCCCCCUUUUCCACGACUGUUAACCAGUCAGAGGAUUCUUCUUCAUUUUGUACAAAGGCUGUUCAAUGAAAUUUGCCUAUAUUCCUUUUAGUUAACAUUUGAUUGACACCAUAAAUAAGGGUUCUUUGGAUUAAUGUUGUUGCGGUAUAUUGCAUAACUAUUUGCUCCCAUGAAAUUGUUAAAUAAACCCAUUUGAUUCAUAUUCUAAUUGAAUGUAUACUUUUUUCCUCUGCUAGCAUAACACUAACAGUGUAAUCAAUCUUGUUAUAACAAGUAGGCUGGUUAGAGGCUAGAUAUUUGCGGUUUGUCCCUGUGAGUGUGGGCAAGGAUGAAUGAGAAAGCAAGGGCAAAGUGUGUGUGUGUGUGCGGACGUGCAUGUACCUGUGCACACGUAUGAGACAGCGAGUCUGCCUAUUAUGCUUUUGUACUUUAAAUCAUGUGGAUGCAACAUGCGGCAUCCAUUCUGCCACUUGUUUCAGCCAGUGAGAGCCAGCGUGGCUGCCUGCAUCACGGUGCUGUCAGCCUGUAGAUGCAGAGAGGAGGCGGGGCAGAGAGAGACAUUUAGUUUGACAUUGUAAAUAAGCAGAGAGCAGUUGUCAGAGAGCAGCCCGUUGAACCUUUCUCAUCCGUCAAGCAGCAGGGGAGGCAGGGACCGCCCGAGGACAAACAAUGCAGAGCUCAAGGUAACUUAGAGCAGGAAGUUGGUGUCGGUAGAAGGGGGUUGGGCUGAGGAAAGAGGAGGAGCAGGGGAUGUGUCACAGCUGACGGGUGUGUGCAGUAUCCAAUAGCAUAAGAGGACCUUAUCUUCUCAUUGGUUGUGAGUGUCAGAGCGAGGCGGGAGCAGGGAUCCAGGCGGGGUUUGAGUAUCAUGUAGCCUGCUAGAUUGAUUACUCUUGAAUGUUAAAGGGGAAGGAGGCUAGAGAUUUUUGUCUGAUAGUCAGGAGUGCCGCUGUACUGUUUGCCUGCCGCUGCGCUGACUUUCUAUUCCCUCUCGCUCUCCUCUCUGCGCCGGGCCAGGGGUCAGCUCAAAGACAAACGCACGGGUCACUGGUUAGGGAGAGGGGUGAGAGAGUUAAAAAGACAGAAGGUCAGUGAGUUUAGGGGACUUGGUCAGAAUAAACAGGAGAGACGGGGUUGUAUGUUUAGGCAGGAGGAGUAUGUUGGGGGGGGCUGCUGAAGGAGACGGGGCAAUGUGUAAAGGGAGAGUGGAAGAGAGAAGGGGGAGGGGUAGAAGAAGGGGGGCUUGCUCUUCCCGGGCUGAGAGCUUUUUUAGAGCCGUCCAGUGGAGCCAGAGUGCCUUUUUGUUUGUUGAUACGAUCAGAGGACUGGAGGAAGUGAAGGCGCUUGAGAGAGUUUUUCUGUCAAUCUCUGUGCCUCUUCUUCCUGCUGCUGCUGCUGCUGCCGCUGCUCUCAAGGAGAUUUGAACAGGGCUAUCUGUUUCCCUCUAUUCUGCUCCAGCAGGGCACACCAUUCACCAUGAAGGGCACAGGGCAGAUUAGAAGAUGUCCGCAGAUGCGUUCGGAGCCGGAGGCAGCGAUGCCCAGCAAACCCUGCAGUCCUUCUGGCCUCGUGUCAUGGAGGAGAUCAGGAACCUGACUGUGAAGGAUUUCCGUGUGCAGGAGUUGCCACUGGCCCGGAUAAAAAAAAUCAUGAAGCUGGAUGAAGACGUCAAGGUAAAAGGACAGCCUAAAUAAUUUACAAU